UACGGAGGAUGCGAGCGUUAUCCGGAUUUAUUGGGUUUAAAGGGUGCGUAGGCGGUAUUUUAAGUUAGUGGUAAAACGUCGGGGCUUCACCUUGAUUGGCCAUUAAAACUGGAGUACUAGAGUACAGACGAGGUAGGCGGAAUAAGUUAAGUAGCGGUGAAAUGCAUAGAUAUAACUUAGAACACCGAUAGCGAAGGCAGCUUACCGGUGCACAACUGACGCUCAGGCACGAAAGCGUGGGUAUCGAACAGG
rnacentral:rRNA from 1 species